AACGUACGCUGGCGGCACGCUUAACACAUGCAAGUCGAACGAAGUAGCAAUACUUAGUGGCAGACGGGUGAGUAACAUGUGGGUAUCUGCCCUUUGGCCUGGAAUAACACGAGGAAACUUGUGCUAAUACCGGAUAAGUCUUUACGGAGAAAGCUUUAUGCACCAUUGGAUGAGCCCGCACUUGAUUAGUUUGUUGGUGGGGUAAUGGCCUACCAAGACUGUGAUCAAUAGCUGAUUUGAGAGGAUGAUCAGCCACAUUGGGACUGAGACACGGCCCAAACUCCUACGGGAGGCAGCAGUGGGGAAUCUUGCACAAUGGAGGAAACUCUGAUGCAGCGAUGCCGCGUGAGUGAAGAAGGCCCUUGGGUUGUAAAGCUCUUUCGUCGGGGAAGAAAAUGACUGUACCCGAAUAAGAAGGUCCGGCUAACUUCGUGCCAGCAGCCGCGGUAAUACGAAGGGACCUAGCGUAGUUCGGAAUUACUGGGCUUAAAGAGUUCGUAGGUGGUUGAAAAAGUUAGUGGUGAAAUCCCAGAGCUUAACUCUGGAACUGCCAUUAAAACUUUUCAGCUAGAGUAUGAUAGAGGAAAGCAGAAUUUCUAGUGUAGAGGUGAAAUUCGUAGAUAUUAGAAAGAAUACCAAUUGCGAAGGCAGCUUUCUGGAUCAUUACUGACACUGAGGAACGAAAGCAUGGGUAGCGAAGAGGAUUAGAUACCCUCGUAGUCCAUGCCGUAAACGAUGUGUGUUAGACGUUGGAAAUUUAUUUUCAGUGUCGCAGCGAAAGCGAUAAACACACCGCCUGGGGAGUACGACCGCAAGGUUAAAACUCAAAUGAAUUGACGGGGACCCGCACAAGUAGUGGAGCAUGUGGUUUAAUUCGAAGAUACGCGCAGAACCUUACCAACACUUAACAUGUUCGUCGCGACUCUAAGAGAUUAGAGUUUUCGGUUCGGCCGGACGAAACACAGGUGCUGCAUGGCUGUCGUCAGCUCGUGUCGUGAGAUGUUGGGUUAAGUCCCGCAACGAGCGCAACCCUCACUUUUAGUUGCCAUCAUUAAGUUGGGCACUCUGAAAGAACUGCCAGUGAUAAGCUGGAGGAAGGUGGGGAUGACGUCAAGUCCUCAUGGCCCUUACGUGUUGGGCUACACACGUGCUACAAUGGUAUCUACAACAGGAAGCAAGACUGCGAAGUCAAGCAAAUCCUUAAAAGAUACCUCAGUUCGGAUUGCACUCUGCAACUCGAGUGCAUGAAGCUGGAAUUACUAGUAAUCGUGGAUCAGCGUGCCACGGUGAAUGCGUUCCCGGGUCU
rnacentral:rRNA from 1 species